AGUGAACGCUGGCGGUAGGCCUAACACAUGCAAGUCGAACGGCAGCACAGUAAGAGCUUGCUCUUACGGGUGGCGAGUGGCGGACGGGUGAGGAAUACAUCGGAAUCUACUUUUUCGUGGGGGAUAACGUAGGGAAACUUACGCUAAUACCGCAUACGACCUACGGGUGAAAGCAGGGGAUCUUCGGACCUUGCGCGAUUGAAUGAGCCGAUGUCGGAUUAGCUAGUUGGCGGGGUAAAGGCCCACCAAGGCGACGAUCCGUAGCUGGUCUGAGAGGAUGAAUCAGCCACCCGGAACUUGGGACAGGUCCCGACUCCCAACGGGGGGCACAGUUGGGAAUUUUUGGACAAUGGGCGCAAGCCUGUCCCGGCCAUCCGGGUUGGUUAAGAAAGGCCUUCGGUUUUUAAAGCCCUUUUGUGGGGAAAAAAAGCAGCAGGUUAAUACCCCGCUGUUCUGACGGUACCCAAAGAAUAAGCACCGGCUAACUUCGUG
rnacentral:rRNA from 1 species